rnacentral:rRNA from 1 species
UACGAAGGGGGCUAGCGUUGCUCGGAAUUACUGGGCGUAAAGGGAGCGUAGGCGGAUAGUUUAGUCAGAGGUGAAAGCCCAGGGCUCAACCUUGGAACUGCCUUUGAUACUGGCUAUCUUGAGUGUGGGAGAGGUGAGUGGAACUCCGAGUGUAGAGGUGAAAUUCGUAGAUAUUCGGAAGAACACCAGUGGCGAAGGCGACUCACUGGCCCAUUACUGACGCUGAGGCUCGAAAGCGUGGGGAGCAAACAGG